GGCAUCGUAGCUCAGUUGGCUAGAGCGUUGGCUGUACGUAAGAUAUCCCCUUGCUGGCGUGGGUUCGGAUCCUACCGAGGCCA
rnacentral:tRNA from 1 species